rnacentral:rRNA from 1 species
UGGGGAAUUUUGGACAAUGGGCGAAAGCCUGAUCCAGCCAUGCCGCGUGCAGGAUGAAGGCCUUCGGGUUGUAAACUGCUUUUGUACGGAACGAAAAGACUCUGGUUAAUACCUGGGGUCCAUGACGGUACCGUAAGAAUAAGCACCGGCUAACUACGUGCCAGCAGCCGCGGUAAUACGUAGGGUGCAAGCGUUAAUCGGAAUUACUGGGCGUAAAGCGUGCGCAGGCGGUUAUAUAAGACAGAUGUGAAAUCCCCGGGCUCAACCUGGGAACUGCAUUUGUGACUGUAUAGCUAGAGUACGGCAGAGGGGGAUGGAAUUCCCGCGUGUAGCAGUGAAAUGCGUAGAUAUGCGGAGGAACACCGAUGGCGAAGGCAAUCCCCUGGGCCUGUACUGACGCUCAUGCACGAAAAGCGUGGGGAGCAAACAGGAUUAGAUACCCUGGUAGUCCACGCCCUAAACGAUGUCAACUGGUUGUUGGGGUCUUCACUGACUCAGUAACGAAGCUAACGCGUGAAGUUGACCGCCUGGGGAGUACGGCCGCAAGGGUUGAAAACUUAAAGGAAUUGACGGGGGUCAUAGCUGUUUCCU